GGCUGGUCCAAAAGUAGCAAGCUAUCUCAACUGGUUGUUCCCACUCAGUUACAGAGUUACAGAUGCAACUCCUCGUUCUGCUUUCUCCUCCUUUCUCACCACUGUACUUGACUAGUCUUAA
rnacentral:Y_RNA from 1 species